AAGUCGUAACAAGGUUUCCGUAGGUGAACCUGCGGAAGGAUCAUUAAAAAAGUUUGGAUAUGAACUCUCAUUCCAAGUUUCCACUCAGCGUAUCUGUCCACUGUAAGCUUCCGUUGGGCGUGGGUCUUCGGAUCCCCUCCUGUCGAGCCCACUCAGGGCGCGAUUGGGAGCGUCCCGACGGGAGCCAAUAGCAAACUCAAUCUAUUUAGUUGUAUGUAUUGUCUGACAUGUUGCAAAGCAAUAUUUAAAACUUUCAACAAUGGAUCUCUUGGUUCUC
rnacentral:misc_RNA from 1 species